rnacentral:rRNA from 1 species
AUUGAACGCUGGCGGCAUGCCUUACACAUGCAAGUCGAACGGUAACAGGUCUUCGGAUGCUGACGAGUGGCGAACGGGUGAGUAAUACAUCGGAACGUGCCUAGUAGUGGGGGAUAACUACUCGAAAGAGUGGCUAAUACCGCAUGAGAUCUACGGAUGAAAGCAGGGGAUAGCAAGACCUUGUGCUACUAGAGCGGCCGAUGGCAGAUUAGGUAGUUGGUGGGAUAAAAGCUUACCAAGCCGACGAUCGGUAGCUGGUCUGAGAGGACGAUCAGCCACACUGGGACUGAGACACGGCCCAGACUCCUACGGGAGGCAGCAGUGGGGAAUUUUGGACAAUGGGCGCAAGCCUGACCCAGCAAUGCCGCGUGCAGGAUGAAGGCCUUCGGGUUGUAAACUGCUUUUGUACGGAACGAAAAGCCCCGGGUUAAUACCCUGGGGUCAUGACGGUACCGUAAGAAUAAGCACCGGCUAACUACGUGCCAGCCGCCGCGGUAA